UUUUUUCCUGAAAAAAAUCUAUCCCUAUACUGAUCUCCUAAGAAGAACCCGUACCUUCGAUGGCAUGACUUGCAGAGACGACGAUGUUUCUUCAAUUGAUCUCAGUUCCAUGUCGAUUGUGUUUAUUCACCGACUGUGUGAAAAUAGGAUGCAAUGAAUGUUAAUUUGGAGGUUAAUGAGAAUGAUUGAAUGCAUAUGAGAUCUGUAACGUUUCCGAUUUUGGAAAGCAAGUAAGAAGCCACACGAACCGGCACUGAAGGCGGUUUCCACCAGAGAUUUCCUGGGUUUCCAACCCUCGUAACCCAGCCGGAGAUCCAUUGUUAACCCUAGACGGCCGUUCUUCGAUAGUCUCUAAUCACCCACUUAACCAAUACUCUUUAGCCCAAACCUUGUAUUAGAAGCCCACAGCCUAUAUUUUUAAGUCUAAAGCAAUUCUUGGUAUGAAAGCCCAUCUAUAACAAUAUAACAUCAUCGAUGAAAGAACAAUUUGAUAUUUCAAACCGA